UCGGGGCCCAACCUCCCACCCGUGUUGCCCGAACCUAUGUUGCCUCGGCGGGCCCCGCGCCCGCCGACGGCCCCCCUGAACGCUGUCUGAAGUUGCAGUCUGAGACCUAUAACGAAAUUAGUUAAAACUUUCAACAACGGAUCUCUUGGUUCCGGCAUCGAUGAAGAACGCAGCGAAAUGCGAUAACUAAUGUGAAUUGCAGAAUUCAGUGAAUCAUCGAGUCUUUGAACGCACAUUGCGCCCUCUGGUAUUCCGGAGGGCAUGCCUGUCCGAGCGUCAUUGCUGCCCUCAAGCCCGGCUUGUGUGUUGGGCCCCGUCCCCCCCGCCGGGGGGACGGGCCCGAAAGGCAGCGGCGGCACCGCGUCCGGUCCUCGAGCGUAUGGGGCUUCGUCACCCGCUCUAGUAGGCCCGGCCGGCGCCAGCCGACCCCCAACCUUUAAUUAUCUCAGGUUGACCUCGGAUCAGGUAGGGAUACCCGCUGAACUUAAGCAUAUCAAUAAGCGGAGGAAUACCGAGUGCG
rnacentral:rRNA from 1 species